rnacentral:rRNA from 1 species
GACAGAGGGUGCAAACGUUGCUCGGAAUCACUGGGCGUAAAGGGCGUGUAGGCGGGAAGGAAAGUCAGAUGUGAAAUCCCCAGGCUCAACCUGGGAACUGCAUUUGAAACUCCCUUUCUUGAGUACCGGAGAGGAAAGCGGAAUUCCUGGUGUAGAGGUGAAAUGCGCAGAUAUCAGGAGGAACACCGGUGGCGAAGGCGGGUCUCUGGGCAGUUACUGACGCUGAGGAGCGAAAGCGUGGGGAGCGAACAGG